rnacentral:rRNA from 1 species
UACGUAGGGUGCGAGCGUUAAUCGGAAUUACUGGGCGUAGAGCGUGCGCAGGCGGCGCCGCAAGUCAGGCGUGAAAUCCCCGAGCUUAACUUGGGAAUGGCGCUUGAAACUACGGUGCUGGAGUGUGGCAGAGGGAGGUGGAAUUCCGGGUGUAGCAGUGAAAUGCGUAGAUAUGCGGAGGAACACCGAUGGCGAAGGCAAUCCCCUGGGCCUGCACUGACGCUCAUGCACGAAAGCGUGGGGAGCAAACAGG